rnacentral:lncRNA from 1 species
UUUUUUUUUUUUUUUGUCUCUUGUCUUUUUAGGGCCACACCCAUGCACAUGGAGGUUCCCAGGCUACAGGUCCAAUCGGAGCUGCAGCUGCCAGCCUACGCCACAACCACAGCAACACCAGAUCCGUGCACAGCUCACAGCAAUGCCGGAUCCUUAACCCAUGGAGCGAGGCCAGGGAUCGAACGAACCUGCAACCUCGCGGUUCCUAGUUGGAUUCGUUUCCGCUGUGCCACGACAGGAACUCCUAACGUUGCAAUUAUAUCCAGAGAGUCUCCAAGUUAAAGCUCACUUCCUACUUCUCUUCCACUCGUCCCCACAGAAAGCGUGCUCAGACUAAUCGGCAAUAUCAAACUAUUGCAGAAGACAGCCCAUGCGACGAAAAGAGAGCCGGAGUGGAUCACCGGAGGGGGUAAGCAGUGCUCUGAGGUCAAACAUUCGCUGGCUUUUGCUUUGGGAUGGAAGCCAAAUGGUAGCUCUCAUCUCCACCAACUCGGGACAUAAGAACAGUAUCUAAACGGAGUGACACUGUCAUUUCUCUUCAAGGCCCACCGUGAGGAGGAUUUCUCAUCCGCUGAAGGGUGCACAAUCGGACCCGCUUUUCUAGGUGCGACAACAUCAUUACAAGGUGACAGCUCCGCUGCCUCCCUGGCCAGCGGCCGAGUCACGCAUCGCCCCAGAUCCACGCUUGCCCGCUUCCGUCCACUUCUGCAGGAGCGUGGCAGAGCCCUCAGCGAAUCACACCCCCCCAGGUAAAACUUCGAACUGCUUAUCACGGCUGUUAAGAUCAGCCCCCAGGCCCCUCAUGGUCUGGCUUCUGCCAGCUUGAGACUCAUCGCUUUCUGCCCUCCCAGCCAGGUGGGCUCCUCCGUCCUCACAAAGGGCAGGUGCUCUCCUGCCUCGGGGUCUUCUCGCAGGCUCCCCACCCACCCCCUUUGCUUGGCCAACUCUAGCUCGUACUGAGACCUCUGCUUCCCGGAGCUGCCCUCAUGCUCCAUCAGCUUCUCCUGCUGUUUUCUUUCCUAGCUUAGAGGCCUUUGCCUUCCUCAGCGGCACUCAUCAAGGCUGACUUAUGUUUGACUCUGAUUAUCGUCUGUCUCCCUGAACAGGUCAGAAGCUCCACCGGGACAGAAGGCACCACUGUGUCCACCAUGAGGGCCACACAGGAGUAACUGCAGAAUGAAUGCUCUUGCUCUGUUCACUCUUCUCUGCCCAGUUUCCUUUAAAAUAUGGCAUGUGUGUAUAAGCCAGCUGCUCUGAGGUGGGUACUCGAAGGAGAAAUGAGAAAAAUAAAUCUGCUUUAGAACAACUGCUGAAAGACGUUCUUCAUUCAAGGAACUAAGUGGGUCAGUGAAGAAUUAAUGACAUUUGGUUUUAUAUUUUGAAUGAAAAAUAGAUUUAUUAGGAAAUUGUUAGUAUAGUUAGUGUCCAGCAGAAAGGUUAUUUGCAUCCUACUUUUCCAAACAGAAGAAACCCCCCAAGUCCCAUCAACACACAGUCAUGCUUGGCUCGAAUGUCCUUUCUUAUUCUACAAUGUCAUGUGAAUGUAUUUUUGCCUCUUCCUUUUUCAAGUUCCACGCUUCUUGGGUGGAUCAAAACCAACACACAAAGUCAGAGCACAGAAAGGAUAACCUCUAACAGGCUUUUAUUACCUUUUCUUCGGAGUCCCCUGGUUGGCAGGUAAUUACUCCAUCUCUUGAACCUCCUGCGAAUGUUGCCUUGCAGUUCGCAAGCCACUGUUGUCAGAAAGAGAGAGAGACACAGGUAAAUUCACUGACGUCCUUAGAGGAUUUUUAUCAUCGAUCUUGUCAGGGAAGACAGAUUAAGCUUCUCAUCACAGCAAAAUAAAAUUUUGCUAUAAUGACCUUUCGAAAAAAAAUUUGGUUAAAGACUAACAAUUUGAAAUUCAAAUAUCUGAUCUGUGAGUUUAGUGAUGGUCCUUUAAAACGUUCAACAUUUGGGAGUUCCCGUCGUGGCUCCGGAGAAACAAAUCUGAUUAGCAUCCAUGAGGACACAGGUUCGACCCCUGGCCUCGCUCAGUGGGUUAAGUAUCCGGCGUUGCUGUGAGCUGUGGUGGAGGUCACAGACACAGCUCGGAUCCCACGUUGCUGUGGCUGCGAUACAGGCCAGUAGCUAUAGUUCCGAUUCAACCCCUAGCCUGAGAACUUCCAUAUGCUGGGGAUGCAGCCCUAAAAAGCAAAAACAAACAAACAAACCUAAAUAAAUACAUAAAAAUAAAAAAAUUUCACCAUUUAUAAUUUUAACAUUGUGAUGCAUCACCCUGAAGGAUGGUUUCACCAGACCAUUCCUAAGUUACACAUAACUUAGAAUAGUCACAUAUGGUUAUACACCUGUCAUGUGCUUGAAAUCAGGAGACAGGACCAGCACAUCCUCCCAGGCUGGGGAAUUUUGGACAAUGUGACCUGAACUCAUGGUUCACCUUCCUCUCUGUUAUGCUGAAGUGGCUUCAAGGGGGCAGGUCAUGUUCACCGUGAGAAAGGCUAUUCUAACAGCAGCCCAGCUAUUUAGAGAUUCUCCCAGUCUUCAGUAUCCGGGAUAGUAACUAACAGAGAUGUGAAAGGAACCUUUGGGCAGAAAACAAUAACCACUGGAGAGCUGAAAUUCACGCUUGACAUCAAAGACUGGCUCGGGCACCAGGCAGAAUGAAAGGGUUAUUUUUAUUAACUGGUGACUGAGAAGCUGGAAAACAGGGACAGCAAAAGAGCCAUAGAAAUAGAAGACAAAGGGAACUGUUGCAGUAAAAUGUCACCACUCUCUCCCUGUGACAGGUCAUGAGAUAAUUAACAAUAACAACAAUAAACAAAACCCUCCUAACUUCACAGUGAAUGUAUUCUAAGUAUGAGGCACUUAUAUAUCUUAUUUCUGUUUUAAAGGAGAUAUUGUCGUUAAGAGCUUGGGCUUUUGAAUCCCACACACCUGAGUUUCAACUUAGCAACUCCCAGGGUAGCUGUAACCCUUACAUGAUUUAAGUUAAGAGACGUAAUGCUUAUCAAGUCGUUGGAUACAAAGGACUUUGGAAAUGGCAGCUGCUAUACCUAUUAUAAUCGCUAGAACCUUACAAUUCUGCAAAUUAAUCUCUAUGAUCACUGUCUUAUAGAUGAUGAAUCUGACAUGAGAGAAGAUAAGUAAUUUAUCCAAGGUCGCUAACCCUUAUGUAACUGAGCUUCAGUGGGAACUCAAGUCCAAUGUGACUUCAAAAGCCAUGCUUUUUUUUUUUUUUUUUUGGCCACACUUGGGGCAUGUGAAAGUUCCUGGGCCAGGGAUCAAACCCAAGCCACAGCAAUGACCACACCGGAUCCUUAACCCACUGAGCCAUCAGGGAAACUCCAUCGAAAUGCAUGCUUUUUCAUGGUUCCUGGUAUGUGACAGGAAGUGCUCCAUAGAAAUCAGGCACAGCUGUUUGCUGGAAUUCAGGGUAUUUGUGUGGGUGGUUUCCCUGUCACGUCUGUGUCUAACAUUUUACAACUUAGAUCUUCAAAGGAAGGAAAAAGGAAAGAACAGGAGUCGAGGCCCAGAGAAACCACGGGGACCGGGAGAAAGGGCCACUGAGAGGGGUCAAGAGGAAAAGAGAAAUAAUUAACAAUAUAACGCUUCUGAGAGAAGUAAAGUUGUAACAUUGAUACAGUGAUAAUAUUAGGUAGAUACCCACUUUCCCUGAAUUUCUGGAUAGGGGAAUUAUGGGGCUAAAACUGAAAGCUGGAACCUUUCUCUUUUGCAGAUAUUUUUACAUAAUCCAUACUAUGAACUGUCCUACCACCAUUCAGUUGGAACUGUCACCCGAAACAGAGGAACAGAUGAAGCCCGAGUUUCCCAAAAGAGUCUCCUCUCUUAGUUAAUCACAUCGCCUCCCAAAAGGAAAGCUCGGAGUGGUUGGGUUGAUCUGGUUUGAACUUAACGUAUAUGCGUGAAACCGAGACGCUUACUGAGAGAGUGGCCUCUUUUCUGUUGUUGUAGGUAUCCAGAUAUUCUUGCAGUUCCAAAACACUGAACUUGAGCUUAUCCAAAAGUCCGCAAGAAAGGAGCUGAAGACAGGAAAAUAGUGUGUAUUACAAUAACUUCCAGAGCAAUAGUUAGGCAUGGCUACACAGACAGAAAAGCUGGGCUGGAAGGUGGGGGGGGGGCAGUGGCAUCCAUUUGGAUAAGCUGUGCCGUUUGUCACUUUGCUCCACGCUCAGCUGAACCUGCACCUGACUAUAAUUUGCUCAUCUAAAUCCCCUAUGAAAAUGUCCAUUUUGCCCAUAUCAGUACAGACAGACAAAUCUGAAUAAGAAUUGCACAGAAGCCCGCAUCUACUUUAUGCCUGGGCUCUGGUAUCUUUAUCCAGAAAAAUCCUGAGCAAUGUGCACACAGACUUACCUCUAAAGAGAUUUUCAUACUAACUUUGUGGUUAGUCUGUACUUUAAAUCAUUUAAGACACAACGACCUCUCAUGCUGUGGUCCUUGCUGCAAGACAGCUGCCCACCCGUCAAGUUCUUGGACAGAGCGACUCCUCGGAGACUUUUAAAGCCCGAGCACAUCCUCCUUGCCUCUAAACCUCAGCAACUACCCAGCAGAUGAGGCGGUUCUGUGAUAGGCAUGGGGGUGCGUGGGUAAAGAGGUUACCAUAUGCCCCCUGCCCAGAGAGCUCGCCAGCCUUGUGGGGUUAGGGUUCUAUGUGUGCAGGCACGAUUCAGCCGCCAGCCAGGGGCUGUUUUAACCUUCCUUUAAACUCAUCAUUUGCGGUUGGGCUGGAGGAAUCCAUCACAGGAAGUAGGGAAAGUGACCACAUGGUACCUCUGGGGACCCACCCGGCUGGUCAAGCUGGCAUCGUGGGGACUGGCUUGAUCCACUUCGGGGUGUGUGUGUGGGUUGGGGGGGUUAGCGCACCACAGUCACAGCUGUCAGAGUCAGCAGAGAGAGGCACCAAGGAUGCAGGGCUGGGGGGGGGGCACCGAGGGGCACCUCCUCCCCACUCCCUCGGCCUGGGCCGGCCUCACAGCCCUUCACACAAACCACAGCGCACAGCGCUCCCCAGAAGCUCCGCACCCUACGCUGGGCAGGCCCCGGGGCACUCACCGUCUCGGCGUCCACAAAAAGCGUGGGGCACUCGGAGCAGGAGGUGANUCAUCUGGGAAGAGCUGACAAACUUGGAGCCGAUGCCCCGGAGGUUAUCUCCCAGGUAACUGGCCGCAUCACACGUUAGGAAGCAGAACCUUUUCUGAAUAUUCUGAAAGCAACAUGAUUACUUGUUGGAAAGGCUGCACUUGACUUAGGUACUAAAAAUAACCCUAUUUUUAAAUUUUUUGUGAAAAUAUCAAAAGAGCACAGGUCCUCCAUGUCGGGGGAGGGGGGCAGAGUGAACAUCUGUCUUAAAUGAAUCAUCACCCAGUGUGGACAAAGCUCUUCCUGAAAGGUCAUUUCUCAACCUGUGGAUGCUAACAGAAUCUUUUAAAUAAACGCUGCUUUGCUUUUUGCUGAUGGGCAGGGCCGGUCCGCAGCUGGAGUCCUCGUAGCGUGUUUGUCAGAUGAGUGAGAGUUUCUGAGAUCACUUUAGCGUGGGCGAGAGGAAAAAGGUCAAGCGAUAAAACUCUUCUGUUUCCCAAGAUUGCAGCUCCCUGAGAUUGAGCACGAAAUUGGGGCUAUUUAAGCCUCUGAAGAAUGAAGGGAUAAAUUCUAGAUAGGACCUAUCUCCCGCUGAGAGCAUGUCCGAUUAGGAGCUGUAACUCUGCCCUGCAGCUUUGCACACACAUCAGCUCAUCAGUCCCCACAAGCAGGUGAAGACACCAGGAUAAGAGAGACUGAAGGGCUCACUUAGGGUCAUGUAACGAGUAAGUGACGGAGGAAGGGUGAGCUCGACCCCCACGCUCACAUCCCUUCAAAAAACCUAGAAUGCUUCCGAAACGUCACUACCCCUCCUAGACAAGCCAUCAUCGGGAGGAAUCUGAUUCACUGUGCCCGUGUAUGUGCCCAAAUGAGCCUUGCCAGCCCCAACGUCCAACACAUACUAUCUUUAUCAAAAGGAACAAAAUAUUUAACCGAAAAAUAGUUCCAGUCCUAGGCACUGGCUUUCCCCAGAGAUAUGGAUACCUUUUGAAGUGGAGAAUCUAAUGCAUGAGAAAUCCUCUCUUCUCUGUUAUGGGGGACCAGCAAGUCCCCCAAACAGCAGAAGGCUCAUGGUUCCUUCUAAGUUAUACUAGAAGAAUGCCAACCAGGUUGCAUAUUAUUUACUUUUUAUCUAAUGUAUCUGAGGAUCUUGAUAUAAUGCAUAAGACACCUAUGUCUUUAUGGUGGUGUCAGUUUUAUGUGCAAUUAAAAAAAAAAAAGACAAGAGUUCCCACUGUGGUGCAAUAGGUUAAGAACCUGACUGCAGCAGCUUGGGUCACUGCAGAGGUGGGGGUUUAAUCCCUGGCCUGGAGCAGUGGCUUAAAGGAUCUGGUGUUGCCACAGCUAUGAUGUAGGUCACACUUGCAGCCUGGAUUCAAUCCCUG